AACGAACGCUGGCGGUGCGUCUUAAGCAUGCAAGUCGAACGGUAAGAAGAGAGCUUGCUCUUUUCCUAGAGUGGCGGACUGGUGAGUAACGCGUGGAUGAUCUACCUUUAAGAUGGGGAUAGCUUCUAGAAAUAGGAGAUAAUACCGAAUAACCUUAUCGUGUUAUGACGUGAUAAGAAAAUGGAGCGUUAGCUCCGCUUGAAGAUGAGUCUGCGUCCCAUUAGCUAGUUGGUAAGGUAAAGGCUUACCAAGGCGACGAUGGGUAUCCGGCCUGAGAGGGUGAACGGACACAUUGGGACUGAGAUACGGCCCAAAUCCUACGGGAGGCAGCAGCUGAGAAUCUUCCGCAAUGGACGAAAGUCUGACGGAGCGACACCGCGUGAACGAUGAAG
rnacentral:rRNA from 1 species